rnacentral:lncRNA from 1 species
AUCAACCAUUUUUUUGUGCAGACACAGCCCUGCAUCUCCAGGAGUGAAUUGGAUCACUCCGGGAAGUGUUCCAAGUGCACAGAGGGGGCCAGGCCGUAAGGAGGCAGGAAGUUACUCUCUGCCUGUCUACAAGCAAGAGAGGAGGGGACUCCUGAGAAAGAAGACAGAAGAUAGUCACCAUCAAAGAAAAGAAAUGAGGCCUCCAACUUUACAUGACUCUUUGGACGGGUCAGGAGACUCAGAAAGCAUAAGUGAAUUGAUACUUUCCAUUUUUUGCCUCUGAUGUCCUAAAACUGUUCUCUGUGUCAAGGGAAACACCACAGUGAGCAAUUGGAACAUACAGGACAUCAGGUCUAGCUUUGAUGUUCUCUUCCUUGAAGUCAGCAGAACAAUGGAUAAUAGUGGAUUCAUUCAGUUGUAUAUUCUUCGUUGUGGAUUCUUCUAGUUGUGGUAUGUGGGACGCUGCCUCAGCGUGGUUUGAUGAGCAGUGCCAUGUCCGCACCCAGGAUUCGAACCAACGAAACACUGGACCGCCU